rnacentral:rRNA from 1 species
UGCAAGUCGAGCGCGUGAAACCUUUCUGAUCCCAUUCGGGGUGACGAAAGGUGGAUCGAGCGGCGGACGGGUGAGUAACACGUGGGUAACCUGCCUGUAAGACUGGGAUAACUCGCGGAAACGCGAGCUAAUACCGGAUAAYACUUCUUAUCGCAUGAUAGGAAUUUAAAAGACGGCGUAAGCUGUCACUUACAGAUGGACCCGCGGCGCAUUAGCUAGUUGGUGGGGUAAGAGCCUACCAAGGCGACGAUGCGUAGCCGACCUGAGAGGGUGAUCGGCCACACUGGGACUGAGACACGGCCCAGACUCCUACGGGAGGCAGCAGUAGGGAAUCUUCCGCAAUGGACGAAAGUCUGACGGAGCAAUGCCGCGUGAGUGAAGAAGGUCUUCGGAUCGUAAAACUCUGUUGUUAGGGAAGAACAAGUUGGAUAGUAACUGAUCCAGCCUUGACGGUACCUAACCAGAAAGCCACGGCUAACUACGUGCCAGCAGCCGCGGUAAUACGUAGGUGGCAAGCGUUGUCCGGAUUUAUUGGGCGUAAAGCGCUCGCAGGCGGUCUUUUAAGUCUGAUGUGAAAUCUUGCGGCUUAACCGUAAGCGGUCAUUGGAAACUGGAGGACUUGAGUGCAGAAGAGGAGAGUGGAAUUCCAUGUGUAGCGGUGAAAUGCGUAGAGAUAUGGAGGAACACCAGUGGCGAAGCGACUCUCUGGUCUGCAACUGACGCUGAGAGCGAAAGCGUGGUAGCGAACAGAUUAGAUACCCUGGUAGUCCACGCCGUAAACGAUGAGUGCUAGG